GGCACACGCUAGGGGUCCUGCAAGUCGCUGCACAGCGAGGCGCGGGUGAGAAAUACCCUCCGAACCUGAUCUGGAUAAUGCCAGCGAAGGGAAGCUUUAGGAACAGCGC
rnacentral:ncRNA from 2 species